GAUGAACGCUGGCGGCGUGCCUAAUACAUGCAAGUCGAGCGAACAGACGAGGAGCUUGCUCCUCUGACGUUAGCGGCGGACGGGUGAGUAACACGUGGAUAACCUACCUAUAAGACUGGGAUAACUUCGGGAAACCGGAGCUAAUACCGGAUAAUAUAUUGAACCGCAUGGUUCAAUAGUGAAAGACGGUUUUGCUGUCACUUAUAGAGGGAUCCGCGCCGCAUUAGCUAGUUGUUAAGGUAACGGCUUACCAAGGCAACGAUGCGUAGACGACCUGAGAGGGUGAUCGGCCACACUGGAACUGAGACACGGUCCAGACUCCUACGGGAGGCAGCAGUAGGGAAUCUUCCGCAAUGGGCGAAAGCCUGACGGAGCAACGCCGCGUGAGUGAUGAAGGUCUUCGGAUCGUAAAACUCUGUUAUUAGGGAAGAACAAAUGUGUAAGUAACUAUGCACGUCUUGACGGUACCUAAUCAGAAAGCCACGGCUAACUACGUG
rnacentral:rRNA from 1 species